GACGAACGCUGGCGGCGCGCUUAGCACAUGCAAGUCGAACGGAAAGGCCCUGCUUUUGUGGGGUGCUCGAGUGGCGAACGGGUGAGUAACACGUGAGUAACCUGCCCUUGACUUUGGGAUAACUUCAGGAAACUGGGGCUAAUACCGGAUAGGAGCUCCUGCUGCAUGGUGGGGGUUGGAAAGUUUCGGCGGUUGGGGAUGGACUCGCGGCUUAUCAGCUUGUUGGUGGGGUAGUGGCUUACCAAGGCUUUGACGGGUAGCCGGCCUGAGAGGGUGACCGGCCACAUUGGGACUGAGAUACGGCCCAGACUCCUACGGGAGGCAGCAGUGGGGAAUAUUGCACAAUGGGCGGAAGCCUGAUGCAGCAACGCCGCGUGCGGGAUGACGGCCUUCGGGUUGUAAGCCGCUUUCGCCUGUGACGAAGCGUGAGUGACGGUAAUGGGUAAAGAAGCACCGGCUAACUACGUG
rnacentral:rRNA from 1 species